AUACGGAGGAUCCGAGCGUUAUCCGGAUUUAUUGGGUUUAAAGGGUGCGCAGGCGGGAGAUUAAGUCGGCGGUGAACUUUUUCAGCUCAACUGUAAAAGUGCCUUCGAAACUGGUUUUCUUGAGUGUAGAUGAAGGAGGCGGAAUUUGUGGUGUAGCGGUGAAAUGCAUAGAUAUCAAGAGGAACUCCGAUUGCGCAGGCAGCUUACUAAACUACUACUGACGCUCAGGCACGAAGGCGUGGGGAUCAAACAGGAUUAGAUACCCUGGUAGUCCACGCAGUAAACGAUGAUUACUAGCUGUUUGCGAUACAAUGUAAGCGGCUGAGCGAAAGCGUUAAGUAAUCCACCUGGGGAGUACGUUCGCAAGAAUGAAACUCAAAUGAAUUUACGGGG
rnacentral:rRNA from 1 species